GGAAACUGGGUCUAAUACCGGAUAGGAACCGUCUUUAGUGUGGUGGUUGGAAAGUUUUUCGGUGCAAGAUGAGCUCGCGGCCUAUCAGCUUGUUGGUGGGGUAAUGGCCUACCAAGGCGUCGACGGGUAGCCGGCCUGAGAGGGUGUACGGCCACAUUGGGACUGAGAUACGGCCCAG
rnacentral:rRNA from 1 species